rnacentral:rRNA from 1 species
GAUGAACGCUGGCGGCGUGCUUAACACAUGCAAGUCGAACGGUGAAGCCCAGCUUGCUGGGUGGAUCAGUGGCGAACGGGUGAGUAACACGUGAGCAACCUGCCCUGGACUCUGGGAUAAGCGCUGGAAACGGCGUCUAAUACUGGAUAUGAGACGUGAUCGCAUGGUCAACGUCUGGAAAGAUUUUUCGGUCUGGGAUGGGCUCGCUGCCUAUCAGCUUGUUGGGUAGGUAAUGGCUCACCAAGGCGUCGACGGGUAGCCGGCCUGAGAGGGUGACCCGCCACACUGGGACUGAGACACGGCCCAGACUCCUACGGGAGGCAGCAGUGGGGAAUAUUGGUCAAUGGACGAAAGUCUGAACCAGCAACGCCGCGUGAGGGAUGAAGGUCUUCGGAUUGUAAACCUCUUUCAGCAGGGACGAAGCGAAAGUGACGGUACCUGCAAAAGAAGCACCGGCUAACUACGUGCCAGCAGCCGCCGUAAGAC